UUUCCGUAGGUGAACCUGCGGAAGGAUCAUUCACAAUAUAUGAUUUAUGGCUCUUUCCUAACGGGCCUUCUGCCUCUUUUAAGCAACGUUAUUAGACCCUCUAUCGUUAUUUUUUUGGUUACUGAAGUGGGACCCUCUACAGACUAACAACAACCUCUUUUACUUAUUAUUCUCAACAUUUGUAAUCAAAAAUUAACAAAUUUCAAAAAUACAACUUUCAACAAUGGAUCUCUUGGCUAACGCAGCGAUGAGGAACGCCACAGAUCGGAACAGCACACC
rnacentral:misc_RNA from 1 species